AUACGUAGGGUGCGAGCGUUAAUCGGAAUUACUGGGCGUAAAGCGUGCGCAGGCGGUUUUGUAAGUCCGUGGGGAAAGCCCCGGGCUCAACCUGGGAACUGCCAUUGUGACUGCAAGGCUGGAGGGCGGGCGAGGGGGAUGGAAUUUCGCGGGUAGGGGUGAAAUGCGUAGAUAUGCGGAGGAACACCGAUGGCGAAGGCAAUCCCCUGGGCCUGCACUGACGCUCAUGCACGAAAGCGUGGGGAGCAAACAGGAUUAGAUACCCUGGUAGUCCACGCCCUAAACGAUGUCAACUGGUUGUUGGGAAUUUAUUUUCUCAGUAACGAAGCCAACGCGUGAAGUUGACCGCCUGGGGAGUACGGCCGCAAGGUUAAAACUCAAAGGAAUUGACGGGG
rnacentral:rRNA from 1 species